GAAAGGGAUCAGUAGA
rnacentral:rRNA from 1 species